rnacentral:rRNA from 1 species
UCUGACCUCAAAUCAGGUAGGAUUACCCGCUGAACUUAAGCAUAUCAAUAAGCGGAGGAAAAGAAACUAACAAGGAUUCCCUUAGUAACUGCGAGUGAAGUGGGAAAAGCUCAAAUUUGAAAUCUGACAGUCUGUUUUUUUCUUCCUGGCUGUCCGAG